UUAACAAUACGCUUCUUAACGGCCUGAAAGUUUUUUUUUUUUUUUUUUUUUUUUUUUGUCUUCGAAUGCUCG
rnacentral:ribozyme from 1 species